CGCCCGUCGCUCCUACCGAUUGGAUGUGCUGGUGAAGCGUUCGGAUUGGAGUCACUCGGCGGCUCGUCCGCCGGCUGGCACCGAGAAGUUCGUUAAACCCUCCCAUCUAGAGGAAGGAGAAGUCGUAACAAGGUCUCC
rnacentral:rRNA from 1 species